rnacentral:rRNA from 1 species
AUGGACAACUCUCAGAGUCAGCCAUUACCUCCUGGUGUUGGAGCAUGGCAGCCGCCACCUCCAAAUCCUCCUCCACAAUUUCAGCAUCCUCCACAAUUUCAACCUACCCCACGCCCACAUGCUUAUCCAGCACCAUAUGAUACCAGACCCAAUGGUGGUAACAAUCAAAAUGGAGCAAACAUGUACUAUGCAACACAACAUUUUCAUCCUAGUCCACAUCGACAUGCUUAUCCAACACCAUACGACACCAGACCCAAUAAUGGCAGCAAUCAAAAUACAGCAGGCCCCUUCUAUGCUACACAGCCUAACAUGCCUUUUGCUCCCGCUCAAAGUACUCCUAGUGUUACCGCAGAAGCUGGGAAUGGACAACCAGAUCUCAAUGGCCAUCAGAGCGCUCAUGUGGUUGCUAACCACAAUGGAAGUGCGGCAAACAUCGAAUCUGCUGUGCAAGAGGCUGUUCUUCACGAACAGGACAUUGAGACGCAGCAAGUAAUACAAAAUCAAAGGCAAGCAAAAUCAACAAACGACCCCGCAGAAUAUGGGGAAGACAUACUUUCGAGCCGGCGCGACCCUAAUGCACUGAAGGAACACUUGCUGAAGAUGACGGUUGACCAUCGUGCAGAGAUGGCAAAUAAAAGGGGAAAGUCACUUCAUCCAGAUAAUGGCAAUGUUGAGAUUGGCAAUGGCUAUGGUGUACCAGGAGGUGGUGCUUAUUAUGCUGGAAAUUUGUCAAGUGCUCAAAUGAAUAAACCAAAAGAUUAUGCUGAGAAAGCAGAAGGUGAUGACGGUCUCCCCGAGUUUCUGAAGCAGAGGUUAAAAGCAAGGGGAAUUCUUAAAGACAAGGAAGCAAAUGAUAACAUCAUGGCUAAACAAAAUGCAAAUUCUCAAGAAGGCCACAACAAAUCUGCCCAAGAUUUGCCUCCUGGUUGGGCCGAGACGAAGGAUCCAACGACUGGUGCUUCUUAUUUCUACAACCAAAGCACCGGAGUAACCCAAUGGGAUCGUCCCGGUGGUACCGUGAAUACCGUGCAGCAUCAAGCUGCUCCAUCAUUGCCAGAAAAUUGGGAGGAGGCACUUGACAAAUCAACAGGCCAGAAAUACUACUAUAACACAAAGACACAGGCAACACAGUGGGAGCCACCUACUUCUGUGAACCCAGUUAUUGUGCCACAAGCAUCCACCGUUGUUGCAGUUCAGCCGACCACUCAAAAUACUGAUCUUUGGAACCCUCACAUACAAAGAUGUUCAGGCUGUGGUGGCUGGGGAGUCGGUCUUGUCCAGCCGUGGGGAUAUUGCAAUCACUGCACAAGGGUUCAAAAUCUGCCUUUUCAACAGUAUCCGUCUUACUCGAACAAUAUCGUGCCCUCAAGUUGUACCAAUGUUCCCAAAAGUCAAGGAAACAUCGCAGCUAAGGACAGAUCAAAUUCAAAACCCCCUUCAGGUAAAGCAAACAAAAAAGAUAACCGAAAAAGAGGUCGUGCUGAGGAGGAUGAGCUUGACCCAAUGGAUCCAAGCUCUUACUCAGAUGCUCCACGGGGUGGCUGGGUUGUUGGCCUGAAGGGUGUACAGCCGCGAGCAGCGGAUACAACUGCAUCUGGACCUCUGUUCCAACAAAGGCCGUAUCCCUCACCCGGCGCCGUGUUGAGGAAAAAUGCGGAGGCGGCAUCUGGCAGCGGCAAGAAACGUGGUGGUAUGUCUGCGAUCAGCAAAAGAGGGGAUGGCAGUGAUGGGCUCGGGGAAGCGGAUUAA